rnacentral:rRNA from 1 species
GACGAACGCUGGCGGCGUGCUUAACACAUGCAAGUCGAACGGGGCGAAUGAAAGCUUGCUUUUAUGAGCCUAGUGGCAAACGGGUGAGUAACGCGUGGGCAACCUGCCGGAAAGAUGGGGACAACAUCCCGAAAGGGGUGCUAAUACCGAAUGUUGUGCGAGAGACGCAUGUUUCUUGUACUAAAGGAUUCAAUCCGCUUUCCGAUGGGCCCGCGUCCGAUUAGCUAGUUGGUGAGAUAGAGGCCCACCAAGGCGACGAUCGGUAGCCGGCCUGAGAGGGUGGACGGCCACAUUGGGACUGAGACACGGCCCAGACUCC